rnacentral:lncRNA from 1 species
GUUCGUCUUAUUAAUUUUGUUUUACUUGAGGCUGGUAUAUCAGAAGUGCAUAUUUGCCAAAAAUAAUAUUAACAUUUUGUCCCUCUGGUUGGUAUUUAAUUUGAACAGUUUUUCAAUUUGUAAGCGUGGGAAUAAUUACAUGGGUAUGUUUGGGUGUUUUGUAUGUACGAUACAAGUUCAUAUUCAUCGUUUUAAUUUACGGCCGGGUUGUUCGAGUUAUUGGUACUUUUAGCACCCGGGUUUUGGAUUGUUUUAACCGAGGUUUUAUGUUGAAGUUCGGACAAAUCUAUAUAGUUUUACAAAUUUGUAUGUCUUAAAUUUUCCGAGAACACCUUCAUGGUAAUUGUAGGAAUUGCUUUGGGUUGUAUAUUUGCCAUUUGAAUUUAUUUUUGGUUGUAUUUCGCUUAAAAUGGUUUUGUUCGUACGAUACGAUAAAUUUUAAGAUUCAACGCCUUGUGUGCGGGCGCGGGGUGUGUUCGAGUUACUGGUACUUUUAAUUGCAAUAGCUUAUUAUCUAUGGUUAAGUUCGGAUAAAUACAUAAUUUUACGAAUUUGUCUGUUAAUUUUUGGAGCACACCUUUCAUAGUAACUGUAGUGAUGACCUUGAGUUGUAUGUUUUGCCUUUUUAUUAACUAUAAACAGAAGAUACACUUUUACUAUGGAAUGUUCAUUCAUUAAAUUGUGUAGUGAAAUGUACAUCACUUGUCACAUAUGUACUUUAAUAACCGGUUUUCGUGACCGACAUUUAAAUAUAACGCUAAUCAGUUUCAUUGGGUUUACAACCAAACUUUUAUUUAAUGGGUGUUCAUUUGAAUUGUUUAAUAGUUUGAU